rnacentral:lncRNA from 1 species
UUUGAUCCAUUUAUCAUGAUAGUAGAUAGAUUUAGCCCCCUAAAUAACUACAUUCUGAUGACCAGGCGAUUGUCAGUUAUAUAUUGAAUGUUCAACUGAGACUUUUCCUGUUUAAGCAGGUAACUGCGUAACUUUUUUUUUGUGCCUUUGUAGGUUCUACCAAAUACAAAUCUCGCCAGUCAUGCGUUUCAAAUGCAAAAAAGUAGUAAAGACAAGUAUAAGAUAGACAGAACGAAAGGAAAUGCCUUAGAGUUUUUCUUUUACUGGUAUCAAAUGGUUUGCACUUGCAUAUACUGCGCCAGCUAAAUGAGAAAAGUUGACAAUGCCCAUCAAUAUACACAGCUUACAACCUGUGUAGGUGAUUGAACCAGUGAAAGCUUAUCCUAGAACAAAAUGCUGCCCUUAAGACUCUUUGUGAGAACAUUAGAGUGAGAUUCUGUCUUUGAUUUUCUUAAACUAAACAAUGAUCUAGUUAACACAGAAGAAAUGUAUGUAACAGUUCCAAGAGCAACCCA